GCAGCUAACCUCCGUGCACUCAAAAUUCCACCAAAAUUCUGCCCUUAUCUUAAAUCAAGUAACUCUUAUCUUCUUAGAAAGCUAACACCAAAAGCUACAACUACAAAAAAAUUCUAUUGAAACUCAAAAAAUUAAAUGAUUGAUUGAAGGAAAUUUGAGGCUCUUGAAUUCUUAAAAUAUUUGGGAGGCUGAGAGAGCUAUCUACUACAAUU
rnacentral:lncRNA from 1 species